GCCACAAGUGAUCCAAGAAU
rnacentral:snRNA from 1 species